rnacentral:rRNA from 1 species
GACGAACGCUGGCGGCGUGCUUAACACAUGCAAGUCGAACGGAGCGAAUGAAAGCUUGCUUUUAUGAGCUUAGUGGCAAACGGGUGAGUAACACGUAGACAACCUGCCGACAGGAUGGGGACAACAUUCCGAAAGGAAUGCUAAUACCGAAUGAAGCGGAGGAGAGGCAUCUCUCUUCCGUGAAAGAUGGCCUCUGAACAUGCUAUCACCUGUCGAUGGGUCUGCGUCUGAUUAGCUGGUUGGUGAGGUAACGGCUCACCAAGGCGACGAUCAGUAGCCGGUCUGAGAGGAUGAACGGCCACAUUGGGACUGAGACACGGCCCAGACUCCUACGGGAGGCAGCAGUGGGGAAUCUUCCGCAAUGGGCGCAAGCCUGACGGAGCAACGCCGCGUGAGUGAAGAAGGUCUUCGGAUCGUAAAGCUCUGUUGACGGG